ACGAAGGGGGCUAGCGUUGCUCGGAAUCACUGGGCGUAAAGCGCACGUAGGCGGACUCUUAAGUCGGGGGUGAAAUCCUGAGGCUCAACCUCAGAACUGCCCUCGAUACUGGGAGUCUCGAGUCCGGGAGAGGUGAGUGGAACUCCGAGUGUAGAGGUGAAAUUCGUAGAUAUUCGGAAGAACACCAGUGGCGAAGGCGGCAUCCUGGCCCUGUCCUGACGCUCAGGGGCGAAAGCGUGGGUAGCAAACCG
rnacentral:rRNA from 1 species